UACACAAGAAUCACACUCUUAAAAUAAAUAAUGGAAAAUAAAUAGAGAAUGUAUAAAUAGAUUGUACUAGAGAUUUAUACAAGUUUGACCUAGCCACUUGACUUACUCUGUUUACAAAAAACUUCUCUUGAGAUUUCCACUAAAAUAGACUUGGGCUUUUACAAGAGAGCCCAAACAACCUUCAGCGACAAACAAAGCUUUUACAUAGACUUAGCCUUAUAACCAAUCAAACAAAGGUUUUGCACAUGCUUAUCUCAAGAACCUUUAAACAAA
rnacentral:lncRNA from 1 species